AUAGUGUCGAUCGCAGCUGGUUCGGGAUGCCCUCGCGGGUGUGUCGAGGCAACAGGGAACCCGGUGCGAGACCGGGACUGCCCCGCAGCGGUGAGUGGGAACGAAAGCCGUCAACCAAGCACUGGGCCGUCAGGUCCGGGAAGCGAUGGCCGGUAGGCACGAGCAGUGCGCCCACGAGUCCGAAGACCUGCCAGCGCGCCGCACGCACA
rnacentral:ncRNA from 2 species